AGUCGGUAGUUUUACACGCAAUAAACCUCUUCAAAAUUGGUGCAGCGGCUGUCCCCGCCCUGAAAACCGAGUUUGGUGUCGAGCCACUCUGGAAUAUAUGGAGGCGCCGGAGGACCAGUGGAAGGUGUCAUCCAGAUGACAGCCUCACAAUUCGCAGCCUUUGUGCUCUCCAUCAGAAACCCAUCAGGGGCAAGCCACUUACGUUUGCCUUCAGACAAGACAACAUUGAAGCAGGAUUCCAGCACAGCCAUCUCCUGCACUUAUGGUCAAGAUGCUCAGACAAUGGAGUCCCUGUUCCUUGUGGUUAACCGUGAACAGUAUUCUCGCUUUUAUGAAAGCUAAAGGUGAUUUCCUGCAUAAAUUAGGAUUUUGCAGC